CGCGCGGCUAGACCGGCCAGUCGAAAAGGAGGAGCACAGACCUCCCUGCCGCGCCCAUCAUCUGUGAAAC
rnacentral:sRNA from 1 species